rnacentral:lncRNA from 1 species
GGGAAGAAAGAUUUUUUAUUAUAAAGUAACAGGACGUCUUGGGGUUCAUGAUUUCAGAUCACAUUUACCACAUUUUUCUCUUAACCUUAACAUAGGGCACCUGAAAUAACCUGAAAUAUCCACAUUCACUUAAUUGGUGGGGGAUUUGGCCACUCAGGCUAAUUAGCAUGAGUCCAUAAUGUCAGUGUUUAAAUUAGGCCAAAACUAAGAUCAAAGUACGAAUUUUAAUAGAACAAUGCAAUGACCUCAUUACUGACAUUGUAUUUGAGAAGUAAGUUUAAAGUGAGAGAAAAAGACAAGGAAAAAGAUGAUUUGGAAAAGGAAAGGCAAGAAGAAUAUAAGUGAAAGGAUGAAUAAUAAAUAUAUUUACUAUCAUUAGUUACUGAAAAUGUAAAAAACUGAAUUUUAAUGGAUUUUUAUUAAUAAAGUAUAAAAUUAAAUGAUUUAGAAAUUAUGAGCAUCUUCAUAUGCAUUAUCUUCCAUUUGGUGGCAUUGAAUAGUUUCAAAGCUCUUUCACAAAUGUUGUAAGUGAUUCUUGUAAGAAAUAAUUGUAGAUCAAUGGAACUUAAAUCAAUAGAAGAGGAAAGUUAAUUUAGUAAUAAAUCAAGCUUGCCUGAUUUAUUUCUGGCCUGAAAAUAUGGUUCAGGUUUCACUGACAGAGGAUAAAUAAGGAACAGUGAAAAUCCACAGCACAUACAUGGGGGGAAGGACACUUGGUGCUCAGUGGAGGGUGAGGGCUGGUGAGACACCAGGGAGCAGUGGGGAUAGUGGCAAAUUGAGAGUAUUGCCCACCCUUUGAAGGUCCACAGCACCUCAGCUCUAGCUGUGGGAGCAUAUAAUGGGGCCAGAUUCCAUCUUUCAAGAAAAUUAGGAAUCCCAGGUUUUUAUGUGAAACCUCACAAUUUGUAAAUGUUAACACACUAUUUUGCCUUUUUGUUUGUUGCUUUCAGGAACACUAUGUGGUCACGACCAUGUCAAUGGUCCCCUUAACCUUGGGGCUAGCCAUUUGUCACCUCUGAUUAGUGGUAUGCUGGUAAGUUUAACCACCAGCUCUCCAGAAAAAAAAAAAAAGUACAUAGAUAAAUAUGUACAUAAGUUUAUUAUAAAUUUUGCUGAUAGAAAGUUUGUGUAUCACACAAUUUACAAAAUGAUAAUAAAAUAUACAUAAUUAAUUCCUGAA